rnacentral:rRNA from 1 species
GCACUUUUCAUAGGCCGGCUCAAGGGUGGUGCGCGAAAGCGCACGCUCGAAGGCUCAGGCUUAUGCUUUACAACAAACGGAUUCAGUUAUAGAAUGUCUUACUUGCGAUAACGCAAUUAUAUACAACUUUCAGCAACGGAUCUCUUGGCUCUCGCAUCGAUGAAGAACGCAGCGAAAUGCGAUAAGUAAUGUGAAUUGCAGAAUUCAGUGAAUCAUCGAAUCUUUGAACGCACCUUGCGCUCCUUGGUAUUCCGAGGAGCAUGCCUGUUUGAGUCUCAUGGAAUUCUCAACCCUUCAACUUUAUUGAUGAAGGCUUGGACUUGGAGGUCGUGUCGGCUCUAGUAGUCGACUCCUCUGAAAUGCAUUAGUGCGAACGUUACCAGCCGCUUCAGCGUGAUAAUUAUCUGCGUUGCUGCGGAGGGUAAGUGAGUGUUCGCGCUUCUAACCGUCUUCGGACAACAUUUCUGAACUCUGAGCUCAAAUCAGGUAGGACUACCCGCUGAACUUAAGCAUAUCAAUAAGCGGAGGAAAAGAAACUAACAAGGAUUCCCCUAGUAACUGCGAGUGAAGCGGGAAAAGCUCAAAUUUAAAAUCUGGCGGUCUUCGGCCGUCCGAGUUGUAAUCUGGAGAAGCGUUUUCCGCGCCGGACCGUGUACAAGUCUCUUGGAACAGAGCGUCAUAGAGGGUGAGAAUCCCGUCUUUGACACGGACUACCGGUGCUAUGUGAUGCGCUCUCGAUGAGUCGAGUUGUUUGGGAAUGCAGCUCAAAAUGGGUGGUAAAUUCCAUCUAAAGCUAAAUAUUGGCGAGAGACCGAUAGCGAACAAGUACCGUGAGGGAAAGAUGAAAAGCACUUUGGAAAGAGAGUUAAACAGUACGUGAAAUUGCUGAAAGGGAAACGAUUGAAGUCAGUCGCGUGUGCUAGAACUCAGCCUUGCUUUUGCUUGGUGCAUUUUCUAGUGUACGGGCCAGCAUCAGUUUUGGCUGCCGGAAAAAGGCCUGGGGAAUGUGGCACCUUCGGGUGUGUUAUAGCCCUGGGUUGUAUCGGUGGCUGGGACUGAGGAACUCAGCACGCCUUUAUGGCGGGGCUUCGGCCACCUUCUUGCUUGGAU